rnacentral:lncRNA from 1 species
CAACAUAUCCUAAAAAUGAAUGAAUUUCUUUGACAAAUUUGGGUGGUGAAAGACUUGCAAUUAGGUCUACUUUGGCUUUAUCUACUUCAAUUCUUUUUUUUGAAACUAAAUGGCCAAGAACAAUCCCUUCUUUAACCAUGAAUUGGUAUUUUUUUUCAGUUGAGAACUAAGUGCUUCUCCUUACAUUUUUCUAGGACUAAUCUCAAAUAAUUUAAAUAUUCGAAGAAGGUAGGGCCUAAGAC